rnacentral:rRNA from 1 species
AGCAUAUCAAUAAGCGGAGGAAAAGAAACAACAGGGAUUACCUCAGUAACGGCGAGUGAAGCGGUAAAAGCUCAAAUUUGAAAUCUGGCUCUUUUAGAGUCCGAAUUGUAAUUUGUAGAAGAUGCUUCGGGUGUGGUUCCGGUCUAAGUUCCUUGGAACAGGACGUCAUAGAGGGUGAGAAUCCCGUAUGUGACUGGAUACCUAUGCUCAUGUGAAGCUCUUUCGACGAGUCGAGUUGUUUGGGAAUGCAGCUCAAAAUGGGAGGUAUAUUUCUUCUAAAGCUAAAUAUUGGCCAGAGACCGAUAGCGCACAAGUAGAGUGAUCGAAAGAUGAAAAGCACUUUGGAAAGAGAGUUAAACAGUACGUGAAAUUGUUGAAAGGGAAGCGCUUGCAAUCAGACUUGCACUUGGUGUUCAUCAGGGUCUCGUACCCUGUGUACUUCAUCAAGUUCAGGCCAGCAUCAGUUUGAGUGGUUAGAUAAAGGCUUAGAGAAUGUGGCCCUCUUCGGGGGGUGUUAUAGCUCUAGGUGCAAUGUAGCCUACUUGGACUGAGGACCGCGCUUCGGCUAGGAUGCUGGCGUAAUGGUUGUAAGCGACCCGUCUUGAAACACGGACCAAGGAGUGUACCUAAUAUGCGAGUGUUUGGGUGUUAAACCCAUACGCGUAAUGAAAGUGAACGCUGGUGAGAACCCUUAAGGGUGCAUCAUCGACCGAUCUUGAUGUCUUCGGAUGGAUUUGAGUAAGAGCAUAUUGGGUGCGACCCGAAAGAUGGUGAUCUAUACGUGAAUAGGGUGAAGCCAGAGGAAACUCUGGUGGAGGCUCGCAGCGGUUCUGACGUGCAAAUCGAUCGUCAAAUUUGCGUAUAGGGG